rnacentral:rRNA from 1 species
UACGUAGGGUCCGAGCGUUGUCCGGAAUUACUGGGCGUAAAGAGCUCGUAGGUGGCUUGUCGCGUUGUUCGUGAAAACUCACAGCUUAACUGUGGGCGUGCGGGCGAUACGGGCAGACUGGAGUACUGCAGGGGAGACUGGAAUUCCUGGUGUAGCGGUGGAAUGCGCAGAUAUCAGGAGGAACACCGGUGGCGAAGGCGGGUCUCUGGGCAGUAACUGACGCUGAGGAGCGAAAGCGUGGGGAGCGAACAGG